rnacentral:rRNA from 1 species
AACGAACGCUGGCGGCAUGCCUAACACAUGCAAGUCGAACGAAGCCUUCGGGCUUAGUGGCGCACGGGUGCGUAACACGUGGGAAUCUGCCCUUCGGUUCGGAAUAACAGUUAGAAAUGACUGCUAAUACCGGAUGAUGACGAAAGUCCAAAGAUUUAUCGCCGAAGGAUGAGCCCGCGUAGGAUUAGGUAGUUGGUAGGGUAAUGGCCUACCAAGCCGACGAUCCUUAGCUGGUCUGAGAGGAUGAUCAGCCACACUGGGACUGAGACACGGCCCAGACUCCUACGGGAGGCAGCAGUGGGGAAUAUUGGACAAUGGGCGAAAGCCUGAUCCAGCCAUGCCGCGUGCGGGAAGAAGGCCU